UAGGGAAUCUUCCACAAUGGGCGAAAGCCUGAUGGAGCAACGACGCGUGUGUGAUGAAGGGUUUCGGCUCGUAAAACACUGUUGUAAGAGAAGAAUGACAUUGAGAGUAACUGUUCAAUGUGUGACGGUAUCUUACCAGAAAGGAACGGCUAAAUACGCGCCAG
rnacentral:rRNA from 1 species